CUGAUGAAUUCACUGCUUCUGUUCCAAAGCUUCCAGGGUGAAGUUGCCUUUGGGGCGGGUGAUCUGUUUCUGUGUUUGGGCGCCUGCCAGCUGGAGAAAGUGCUGUCUUGGCACUCUGCAGCCAGUCUGGAAGGGUAGGAUCUGGGGAGCCUCCCGGGAAGGUGUUUUCUUGAAUUCCUGUGCAGGCUCCAAGAACUCUGGCUGGAACUCGAGGGCAUGUCGCUGCUGGUUGUGUGUUUGAUUGACUGCUGGACAGGAGCCAGGUAUGUUGCCUUCUUCUGAGUUUUUGGCUGUUCACAUGUGGCUCUUGAGAGGUGAGUAUGGCCACAAAACCUCCUGGAAGGUAUUGUGAUGAAUCCCAAGGAAGCUUCUGUUUUCUCAGCUCCUUCCUAGUCACACAAAGGAUCUACUGCUUCUCCUGUAAGAAGGGCGGCUCACCGUCAAAUGGAUUGGAAGUGUGGUUCCUCUCGUUUUCUUCAUGUUUUUCUUUUUUAUGUUCUCUCUGUCAUUGAGAUUUAAAUUCAGAAGCAAGUUAUAUAUUCUCUCCUGAUGAAAUUUGGCUUCAUUAGUUCUGGUCUGCUUCAAAAACAUGACUAAAAACUGGUUAUAGUUGGAAAUUACAAGAAAAGAGACCACCCUCUCCACUUAAGACUGGGGGAGAGCCACAGAAAGAGGAGAGGCAGGAGGAGAAGUGAGCAGAGUCUGUUAGGAAAGAAAGAGCCUAUGUAGUUGUUCAGUCCAGUUCCUCCCACACUGUCCUGUGGAGUCAGAUGCGCAGGGGCCUGUGGAAAAACAACCGAAAAGAAAAUCUAUGACAGGUGCUUGACCUUAUCACAGAUACAGAGUUAAGACAGAGAUCACCUCAAGAUGCCGGAGACUGGAUCUGUAUUUCCCUAAAUCUGCUAUAGUGAAGUCCUUGCCUCACUCUCUCAAAAUGUGGUUAUUUUGGAAAUGAGACCCCUAAAAAGGUAUGGAAGAGUUCCCACUAUGGCCGCACACUCUACUGACACGUGUUCUCAGCACUGUGACCAGUCGUGAGUCUCUGCGUCAAACAUGCACUACCCUGUGAAGACACUUCUCUGAUAAGACUUGAACGAGUGUAGAGAUUUGUACUUUGGACACACUUUGGUGCUCUGUUACAUCCCUCCCCACAAGGCUCAGGAAAGGUGGUGGAAGAGGGGCCAGGAAAACUGUAAGAUCCAGAGGUUUGGGAGGACCGGACAUGACAGGACCACUGCACGAAUUCACAGCAGCUGUGGUCGCCUGAACAAGACCUCUACAAGAUCAAGCCAGUCAACAUUCCAGCAUGGAUGAGGAGGGGCACACGAACUGGCACCUCUAGCCGAGGAGCUGUUGACAGUCAUUGGCUGUCAAGGAAGGUGCAUUUUAUACUGCCUUGCUUCUGCAAAGGUAACACACACUGGUGUCCUCAGAGGGAAAUGUACUAGUUCAUGUGACAGCACUAAGACCUGGCCCAGGACGAGACAAAUGCGGAGCCCGAGGCAUAAAUUAGAAGGAGACAAGGUCAUGCAAGUCUGGAAUUUGCACUUGCACAACCAGGAGAGUUGGCUGCUCUGGGCACAGAAAAGGCAGAUGUUCGCUCACUGUGAGAGCCCUUCUGUGGCUGCAGUGGCAUUUGUAGAACGUUGCUACCUAGAUUUCAUGCCCUAAUUAUUACUUGUCUCGUUCUAGAUGAGGCCCUGUCCCAUACAUACAACACCAGGAAUGCACCCUCUUUCAGGACAGUGGUGCUUGUUUAUUUUUGCAGAUGAGGGGAGGCCACCUUGACUGUGUCUAUGUGAGCCCAGGAGGUGCUGGGCACAUCCAGUUCCUGGAGGCUGAGCACCUCCAGUGUGUGCCAGGGCUGACACCCGCUUAGUGCCCGAUCUUAUUUCUAUUCAAGGUCAAACAGAAAAGCCUGCUCUUGACUACAGUCGAGUUCGGUGAAAGCUGGGGGGGCAGAUGGGGACAAUCCAUCUCACCCUUUCUGUGUGGCACAUUUGGUAUUUUCCUAGAGCAGCCGCAGAGUUACCAACAAAACUGGAGAUUGUGUCUGUUGAACUUUCUGUUGAUUGGAGUUUGUUUCUCUUGCAGGUUCAGGUCAAGUCUAAGGAUUAUUAGAUCCAAGAAACAACCCCAAAGCAUCUUUCUUAAAGGUCUUCAGAUGUGAGAGCAAAUGAUUGUAGUGCCCUAGGGCACUGAGGAAUCCAUGAGUUGAAACUCUCAUCUUAUAGGUGGGAAAUCUGGGCAACUGCUGUGAACGGACUAAUCAAGAAAUCAUAGCAGUGUGCUAGACAAACCCAGGGAGGGGACUGACAAUGAACGUCAGACACAGGGGUCUGUGUUCUCUCUGCAGUAGCAUGAUUCGGAGCGUGCCUAGAAGGUGGUCCCUUUAAGGGCCCUAUUGACAUCCCAGAGGUCCUCUUUACACAUUAAGCCUACGCAGGCACCCUUAUUCAGUGGCUCCCGGAUAGGUUGUAGAUGCAUGUAUCGUCUCUUGGGAGGUAACUUCUGGAGCUUUGAACACUGCUUGUCCCAUUCUAUUAAGAGCAUUCCUUUAUUUACUGCCCAGAUUUUCCUAGACUAGAAUAAUCUGUGGGCGAUUCGCAGUACUCAUGUCUAAGAUUGAUGUUACUUCCCAGCUCGUUCUGGUGGACUCACUGCACCCACUAAUGCUCCUCAUCCUGCUCGUGGUCAGCGUGGUCUCCAUGUGCACCUGCCGUGGCGGCUUUAACCAAUCUUGCAUCAUCGCGACUAGAGACAUAGCUAGGUUUGUCCCUUGGAGGAUGUUAGCGGUCAGAAGAGCAAUCCUUCCCCCACGGUGUGCAGGGAGACUUCACAUCAGUCUGCUCCGCUCAUGUCAAAGCCCAGGUCUCUCCCGCAGUUUUCCUUUAUCCACACCUGAAGCAACUCUCAGGAUGUCACACCUCCACCAUCGGGUGAGCAGAAAGGAGACUCAAUCAUGAAAGCGAUGUUUUGGUUGAUUAUGUAAAAGUAGCAAUCCUUUUUUUUUUGUUCAUAUCGGGGCUUUUAAUCUUAAGUUGUCUCAUUAAUGCUGACAAACAUAAACGGUAUAAUUAUCCUUUU